rnacentral:rRNA from 1 species
CCAGAGAUGGAUUGGUGGCCUUCGGGAACUCUGACACAGGUGCUGCAUGGCUGUCGUCAGCUCGUGUCGUGAGAUGUUGGGUUAAGUCCCGUAACGAGCGCAACCCUUGUCCUUAGUUACCAGCACGUUAUGGUGGGCACUCUAAGGAGACUGCCGGUGACAAACCGGAGGAAGGUGGGGGAUGACGUCAAGUCAUCAUGGCCCUUACGGCCUGGGCUACACACGUGCUACAAUGGUCGGUACAAAGGGUUGCCAAGCCGCGAGGUGGAGCUAAUCCCAUAAAACCGAUCGUAGUCCGGAUCGCAGUCUGCAACUCGACUGCGUGAAGUCGGAAUCGCUAGUAAUCGUGAAUCAGAAUGUCACGGUGAAUACGUUCCCGGGCCUU